UGGGCGACUGGAGUUACUUGCCGCCGUGUAAGGUCCAAGGUCUAGCUGGGGCACGUACCCGUUCAAGGGCAGAGAAAGUGAGAAAUGAAGGAGAGAAUUAAAUGGCAAGGGCCGGUCAGAAAUGAAGUGAAGGCAGGAAUCAGAGAAUGAAAAGAGACACUCAGAAUGCUGAUAGAGAGGGUAUUGACCAAGGAAGCACCAAUGGUUUAGUCGGACAUUGAUCUUGAAAGUUUUGAAAAAAAAUGGGAAUGGGGCAUAGCCUGCAAGCGAGGUAGGGAAGAAAUGGGUAUAUUUUGGGCGAAGAUGGAAUGGGACAUUUAUUCUAGUGGAGGUAGGAAGGAAGAGGAGCAUACUCUAGUAGAAGUAGGAAAGAAGAAGGCAAGUUUUCCGGGACUAGUAGAAAGGAAGAUGGCACGCUUUCCCAGCUAAGUAUGAAGGGAUCAGCCCCAAUUUAUGACGAAAGGAAGGGAUGAGGCUCAAUUGAAGGAGAUAGGAAGGUAGGCGUCAUAGUUAAAUGUGGUAGGACAGGAGGAGGCAUAAUUAAAGGUAAUAGGAAGGAAGGACACUGCACAGAGAGCGGAAGUGAUGUGGUCAACCCAGUAGGCGGGCAAGGGCCAUGUGUGGGGGCGCCAUGACACAAGUGGUCUUGGCCCAGUAGGCAAACGGCAGUAUAAAAACUCUCCUCCCUUGCUGGCCUCUGCAUCAGUCUGCGUGUGUUCUCCGCCUGUUGUACUCCUCUGGAUACACUCUCUAUAAGCCAUGAUUAAGCUGACCCUCCUGGUUGUGUUGCUGUCACUCAGCCUGACAAUGGGCGAAAAAACCGAUGAUGACUCCAAGAACGACCCUAAGAAUGCUCGAUUUUUCUUACCGAAUCUGUUCGACGUGUUCAAGCCUAAGCCGUUUCCCCCUCCAUUUGGCGGAGGCGGCUUUUUCCCAGGCUUUGGGGGAGGUUAUCCUGGUGUUUUUCCAGGAUUUGGUGGUCCAGGAUUUGGUGGUCCACCAUUCGGGGGCUAUCCUGGUGGCUAUGCAGGAGGCUAUAAUGGGGGCUAUCCUGGUUUCAUUGGUUAAAAAGCAAAGUGAUCCAGGUGUGUAAACAAGUGAUUUUUUUUUAGCGGCAGCGCAGUGGGAUGGUCCAGCUUGGAGGAAUGUUGACCGUGAAAUGCAAGUCUCGUCCAUACAAGUCAAUGCCUAAUCGUUAAUCAUCCGUCCACUUCGUGUAGCUUUAAGGUCAAUUAACACAUAGGCUAUAAAGUUUCUCAGCAUAUUAUACACACAGAUAUAUCACUAAUUUAUUUAACAUUCAUCACAUUAUAUCACUGUGUUUUCCCUUCACAUUCUCCUCUGUCAGCGUAGAUCAUCAGCUUAGUACUCACCUUCACUCCAAGCAGCCCUCUUCCCCAGCUGGGACAGUGGGUCUAGUCAAAGUAGUUUCCUGGACCAUUGUAAAUGUGUGUGAGUCUUUAAUGCUCUUUGAGUGUAAAUAUAUAUUAAAAUGAAUGUC